rnacentral:rRNA from 1 species
CACGUAGGGUGCGAGCGUUGUCCGGAAUUAUUGGGCGUAAAGAGCUCGUAGGCGGUGUGUCGCGUCGGCCGUGAAAACCUGCAGCUUAACUGUGGGCGUGCGGUCGAUACGGGCAUCACUGGAGUUCGGCAGGGGAGACUGGAAUUCCUGGUGUAGCGGUGAAAUGCGUAGAUAUCGGGAGGAACACCAGUGGCGAAGGCGGCUGCCUGGGCCAGUUCUGACGCUGAGGCGCGAAAGCGUGGGGAGCAAACAGG